AUUUCUGAAAGCGUGAGGAAGAAGAAAAAGUACGUGAAUGGAUGUGUCAUGGUUUUGGAACCAUGGUUACACGAGCAUAUUAUUCUUCCGUCAUGGUUAUCAACGAAGAUGGUGUAUCCACGUAUUUUAAGAUGGGUCGAUAGCAGUUAUCGACAGACGGGCACGCAUAAAAAAAUUUUAGACAAUCUUAUCUGCACAUAGAUUAUUGAAGAUAUAACCCCUACAAAUGAGGAGAGUCACCUUUUACCUCUCACUGAGACAUCAAAUUCAAUCAAAGAGAUACGUCAGUGGUUAGAACCAUGCCUUGUGAAGAUUGAAGAGAAAAUAGACGCCUCAAGUUCGAAUAGAGAAAUACGUCAAUGGUUGGAACCCAUACUUCUGAAGAUUGAUGAGAAAAUUGUGACUUCAAAUACAAAUAAAGAAAUUCGUCAGUGGUUGGAACCUAUACUUGUGAGGAUGGAAGAGAAAAUCGUAAGUACUUUUUACAUAAUGGUUAUUUCAUUUAUAUACAUGCACAUAUUUCUAAUUAAAAAAUCAUUUUGAAAUACUUUAUUUUUAUUGCAGUUUAUUUCAACUUGUAUUGAAUUUUAUGCUAUUGAAAUAGGACCAGUCUAUGACUCAGAAUAGGAAUCACGAAGAAAGCUUACAUUACCAAGAAAUGUUGAAGGAACGUAAACAAUUAUUGGAGGUGUUAAAGGGAAUGCAAGAUAAGCUAGAUACACAGGCAGCACUCAUCAGAGAGAUAUUUGAUAAAUUGACAAAGUCAGAGAAGAAAUGCCAUUAUGCUAGUCCAAUGUGUGAGACAAUGGAGGAUAAUUGGAUGGCAGCAUGUAGUCCACAACUUUCCCCUCGUAUAAAUGUAAUAUCGGAUACACCAUUAGCUGCAAAUGAGCCACAUAUUUUCUCUCCUAUGAAUGCAAUGGCCACCAAUCAUGAUUUUGUACUUGGAAGUCCGAGUUCCAUAGUGAAGCGUGUGAAAGAGGGUGGUAGGAUUAGAAAUGCUUCAAAAGUCUUACAAUCACCGUACAUGAUAACAUAUCAUAAACGUAAUACUAAAAGCAAAGUAAAAUCACUUGAUAAUGAUUCAACAAUGGAAGAGAGAGCGGCUGGGCUUAUGUUGUCUCAAGAAGAGGAUGUUGCAAUUAAAAGUUUCGUUCACAUGACUGAUUGCAAGUUACAAGUGUAAAGAAAUAUUUUUCAAUACAUGGUAUACCCGAUUGCGGUACUUUUCAACUCAUUAUGGAUAAUGAAUACACUCAACAAAAAAAUUCGUAUGAUUGCGGUCUUUUCGUGAUAAAAUUUAUGGAUUGCUUGUCCCAAGGAGAUAGAUUUUAUUUCAAUUCGGGAGAUAUGCAAUUUGAACGAAAAAAGAUAGCUACACAACUUUUGCUUGGCAAGAUAAGUCCAUAGAAAUAAGCCUGCUCAAUGUGAUAUUGCAGGUGCACAUGAGUUGGAGAUGGCUAGUGUGGCUAAGGAUGAUACUGAUUACCAAAAUAUGAUUUUCUUCUCUUUUCGAGUGGGGUCUUUGUGUGGAUUCGUCUAGGGAAGAUAUUACAAGCUAAAGAGAUCGUGAUUGUUUAUCUCUCGUGAUUAUGUUCCAUAGCCCUUGUUGUUUCUUUUUGCCCUCGUGCUCUAAAACUGGUUUUUGGAAGAAGUUCAUAUGAAGAAGAGGUCGAGGGGCCUCAAUGCCUAUUCUGUAUUUGUAGGCCUCAGAUUUUUUUGGGUUGCUCAGUUUGACAUUGUAUAGUUUUUUGUUGGUUGUUUGUUGUGACUCAUGGCCUCAAACUUUUUGUUAGGUAGCUCUUUUAUUGGGAAGUAUAUCUACUUGAUACAAUGUGCCAUUUCUUA